rnacentral:rRNA from 1 species
GAGCUUUCGGAGCUCGGCGUACCGCUCAGUAACACGUGGGUAACCUAACCUAUGCAGGGGAAUAACCUCGGGAAACUGAGUAUAAUGCCCCAUAGUCCACUACGCCUGGAACGGUGAGUGGAUCAAAGCUCAGGCGGCAUAGGAUGGGCCUGCGGCGUAUCAGGUUGUAGGGGGUGUAAAGUACCCUCUAGCCAUCUACGCGUACGGGUGUUGGGAGACAUAGCCCGGAGAUGGAUUCUGAGACACGAAUCCAGACCCUACGGGGUGCAGCAGGCGCGAAAACUUGACAAUGCGAGCAAUCGUGAUCAGGGAACUCCAAGUGGCUGGGGUAAGACCCAGUCUUUUCAUAACUCUUCAAAGGUUGUAGAAUAAGGGGUGGGUAAGGACGGUGCCAGCCGCCGCGGUAAUACCGGCGCCUCAAGUGGUAGUCGCUUUUGUUGGGCCUAAAACGUCCGUAGCCGGUUUGGUACAUUCGUGGGUAAAUCAACUCGCUCAACGAGUUGAAUUCUGCGAGGACGGCCAGACUUGGGACCGGGAGAGGUGUGGGGUACUCUCAGGGUAGGGGUAAAAUCCUGUCAUCCUGAGAGGACCACCUGUUGCGAAGGCGCCACAC